rnacentral:rRNA from 1 species
AGAACGAACGCUGGCGGCAUGCCUAACACAUGCAAGUCGAACGCUCAUCCGGCUUCGGCCGGAUGGGAGUGGCGCACGGGUGAGUAGCGCGUGGGAACCUGCCCUGUUGUGGGGGAUAACCGAGGGAAACUUCGGCUAAUACCGCAUGCGCCCCGGCGAAAGCCGGGGGAAAGAUUUAUCGCAGCAGGAGGGGCCCGCGUCGGAUUAGGUAGUUGGUGGGGUAACGGCCCACCAAGCCGAUGAUCCGUAGCUGGUCUGAGAGGAUGAUCAGCCACACUGGGACUGAGACACGGCCCAGACUCCUACGGGAGGCAGCAGUGGGGAAUAUUGGACAAUGGGGGCAACCCUGAUCCAGCAAUGCCGCGUGAGUGAUGAAGGCCUUAGGGUUGUAAAGCACUUUUAGUGGGGAUGAAAAGCCUAGGGUUAAUACCUCUGGGUCUUGACCUAACCUACAGAAAAGCACCGGCUAACUCUGUGCCAGCAGCCGCGGU